CAGAGGGGGACGAACAGUUGGAAACGACUGCUAAUACCGCAUACGAUCUAAUCUCGGCAUCGAGGAUAGAUGAAAGGUGGCCUCUACAUGUAAGCUAUCACUGAAGGAGGGGAUUGCGUCUGAUUAGCUAGUUGGAGGGGUAACGGGCCCACCAAGGCGAUGAUCAGUAGCCGGUCUGAGAGGAUGAACGGCCACAUUGGGACUGAGACACGGCCCAG
rnacentral:rRNA from 1 species